rnacentral:tRNA from 1 species
AAGAAAGUGGCAGAGCGGCUAUGUGGUUGGCUUGAAACCAGUUCAUGGGGGUUCAACUCCUCCCUUUCUCG